GUUUCCUUCUUUGGAAAAGCUGCCAGUUGGUGAUUCCAGAAUUGACCAGGCAUUCUGUUUAAUCAAGCCUGGUGACAUCAUCAAUGAUUGCUUCACCUCGACUGAAUUCCCAGAGCAAACUUCUGGAAAAGUCUGAGGGAGGGCGUGUGACCCAUAUCCAAAGGACAGGAAAAUCCCCCAGAAGCCACACUUUAAGACCAUAAGCAAAGUGUGGCCCAGAUGGUUAGAGGAUGCAGACAUACACAAAAGGGUGAUUCGUUUUCCACAUUUAUUGGGUACUCACAGAUUCUAGACACUAUACCCAGUCCAGAUGCAGACAAAGCUCCCGUUCUAAGAGCUUAUGAUCUAAAUUCCUUGUGGAAAGUCUGUCUUUGAAAUGUUUAAGGCACCUCAUUUAAUCCUCAUUUCCACUUCAAGUCGUGGACCUGCUUCCCGAGAAACCCAUCCCUUUUGAAGUUGGUAGCUGGCCUUCUGCUUUUGCUAUUUAUGUGCCAAUUGAAAGGGUGGAGAGAGCCACAUUAAUUUUGAAAUAAAACACAAAUAGCGAAAUGAGGCUUGGUUAAAGUAAAAACCACAAAAGGACUUUUUUUUUCCUCUCAUACUUUUCAGAUUUUCCUAGAACCACCUUUAUUUCCUCAGAGCCCAGACAUAGAAAGUGAGUGGGCCUCUCCGGAUGCUCUUCCAAGAGAAAGAGAAAGCCCGCUUCCUCAUCUCCCCUCAGUGCACCUUGAAGUUUUGCUUUUCAUUUUUAGACAGUUGAGUCCCAAACUGGGGCUCAGAGAGGAAUCGAAGCGUCUAAUUCACAUGUGGUGUUUCUAAGCAUCUUGGAGGAGAUUUCGGUUUGCUUUUGCAUAGCCUGUAUCUUACCUCUUCUGUUCACUGCGUCAGCUUGUGCAUCCUGGGUGAUGGGAAUGGGGCUCUCAAGUCACAUCCUCCUGGGUGGAUUCCCAGUGUCGCUACUUACCAGUCCCGUGACUUCAUCUGCUGAAGGGGAAGAAGGAUGCACACCUCUCAGGGCCGCAGUGAGGACUAAGCAGUUAAGACCAGAAUGGGCUCAGCAGAAAGCAAGCCCUUAAUACACCGCAGCUAUUAGGAAAAUAGAUCCUUUCAUCUAUCUGCUCCUUCUUUAACAAAUCCCCUCCCCCUAUUUUGGAGAAGGAAAGAAAAUUAGUCAUCCAUCCCAAGUGGAUGAUUUAUCCCCAUUUUACAUCACCAAAGGGCCAAGUUUGACUUGUAAACACCUGGGCCUUUUAAUGGGAUGAGACCAGUGUUCUUGCUUCUCAGCAAGAGGCGACCCAACCGGUGGCGGUGCAAAGACUGGGCAGAGCACAGAAUAUGGGGAAGGGUGGUCUGGAAAAGCAGGCCCAGAGCCGACGGGAGGGGCCGGAGGGGUGCCUGCUCCUUGGAAAGACAGGUUCCCGCUUCGGGAUUCUGAGUCUCCGGGUCUGCAGGCAGAGGCCCGCCCGCCUCGGGGUCUGGUGACCGUGGACCCGAGGCGCGUGCGGCAGCGCCCUCUGCCGGCCGCGCGGGACAAGCGUCCAGCCCCGCGGCUCUGCAGGUGGGACCCGGGAUCCCUCCCGCUGCCUCCGCCCCCGCCCCCGCUCCCGCUCCAUCCCUUCCGAGGACCGCGCGGCCAGGUCCCCGACCGGAUUCCAGGAGACGCGUCCUUAUCUGACGCCUGCGGGCUGAGCAGAGACGAUGCUUGGAAACAUCCGAUUCACCUGGGGAUCGGAGGCCGCGGGAACCCACCUAAACCCCGCAGGGGCUGCGCCUCUUGGGCUCCGCGGCCAAAGUCUGCCGGGCUGUCGGAGGUGGUUUGGAAGUGGCAUCGCCUAUGGCCAAGACCGCGGGUUCUGCGGACAGAGAGGAGCCCUGGGUUCGCUUUCUGCCUCAUCCAUUUUCCAGCUAGGUGACCUUGGGCAAGCAGGAUAGCCUGGAUCUUCUUCCCACGUGGCAGCUGGGUCCCAGGAAGGACAUUCUGAGAGAUCAAGCCCUGAUGUAUACGCACUUCUCAAGCCUCUGCUUGAGUCGCACUUGCCGAUGACUAAGGCCCUGGGACCUCAAGUACAAUGCUGGGAAGAAGAGUUGACCCAGACAUUUUUGCCUUGCUCCUGAUUUCAAAAGGGAUAUUUCAAACAUUUCACCUUGAAGAAUGAUAUUUGCUGUAAUUAUUUGGUAAAAACUCUUUAUCAGAUUUGUCACUGUGGCUAAGCGCAGGUCAGUUAUCUUCAAUUUAGAAGAUCCUUCUUACCUCUGCUGGCCACCAAAUGGCCCUUCGAUUCUGGCCUUCCCUCCUAACAGUGAUGUACUGACGCCUGGGUACCAGGUACAGCGCCUGGAGGUCAACAGUAGGCCUGAAGAAGCCCAGCCAUUGGAGGUCUAGCUGGUUGUCAAUCCACAUCCCUUUUCUCCCACUCAAAACUCACUUUGUCUAAAACACUCUUCCUGAUUACCAGCCUGUGAUCCACCCUGAGUGCGGGGACCACAUCUUUUCAUCUCUCUAUCCCCAGGGCCCAGCCCAAAGCCUGCACAGAGAAGUUGCUCAAAAAUGCUUGUGAAACUGAGUUUGCCCAACCCAAUUCUGAGCUCUUUCUUGGCUCAGUUGAUCCUGAUUUUUAAAGUCGUUUCUCCAAAACGCUCUUGAGCCUUUUUUUGUAUGCGGCACAUGCAUCUGCUGUGUCUCACAAGACAGACAGUGGUUGCUUUGCAGAUAAGAACUGUGUCUACGGAGGAGUUUCUUUUGACUUUCCAAUUUCAGAGGCUGUCCGACACUAGCCCAAAGCCCCUUCAGCGUCUUGUCCAUCUGUGUUCUCAUCCACACUCCUACUCACAAGUUGGAAACUCUAGGUAAGCCUCACUCUUCAAGGUUUCCAGGAGGCCACACUGCGCCGUGCUUUUAUGCCAUACCUUUGCUCGUAGCAUGCCCUCUGCAACCCUCUUCUCAUGAACGCCCUCUCUGUUUUUCACAUGGUACCCAACUGUCAAAUCCUUGGUGAAGCCACCCUUACUCUCUUCCUUCCCGUCCACAUCCCUUGGGGGUCACUCUUUCCUCCUCUGUGCUCUUCAGAUGUUGUAUACGUGCCUUUUUAAUUUUUAUUUAAUUACUUUUAACUGAGGCAACGUUGGUUUAUAACCUCAUACAAAUUUCAGGUGUACCUCUUUCUAUUUCAAUUUCUGUGUAGACUACCGUGCCUUUUUAAAAAAACCUUUUUUUUUAACCCCCAAAUGCUUCACUAUCUAUUUCCUAAAAUCAGGACAAUUCUCUUACAGAGCUACAGUACUGUUGUCAAAAUCAGGCUAUUUAACAUGCAUACAAAUACAUUUUCUAAUCUACACUUCAUUUUAAAAUUUUACCCAUCAUUCCUUUUUUUAACUGGAUCGUUAACAAUUGUCACGUAGUUUUAUAGAUGUUUACAUUUCUCUGCCUCCCGUAUGCUUGCACGCACACAAUGCCCCUAAGAGUCUGGGCUUGUAUCUUUUAUCCGCAAUUCCAGCAAGGUGCCUUGUCAGUGAGUUUGUCUUCUGUGUGGUGUGCACGCGUGUCUGUGUUUAAUUAACGCGGUUAUAUGGCUCGUCUUCAGUUCCUCUGUCUUCCCAGCGUGGCCCUCCCUUCCUCCCCCUGCAUCAUGCUCCGUCAUUCUGGGGACCCACGCCCUCCCUCUCUCGCUAAACCCUUGCACUAACCUCAUUUCUGAGCCUUCAUUCAUACGAUGUAGUCAGUGACUCGUGGCGGCUUGUGGUGUCCCUCUUCCCAGGGAUAGACACUGAGGGAUAUAAAAAAUGAAUGCUACGCCCCUCCUGUCCUCCAGGGCCUCCACUUCUCAUGUUCUGUGUGUUUUCUUUUCUCGCCCAAACGCCAGCACCACCUGUGCCCACUGUCUGUGCUCGAUGACCGCUGGUUCGGUGAAUGAAUGCAAGCACAAAACGGUGGCCCUCGAGAUGAAGAGCCCAGGGUUCGACCACUCUCCAGUCGGGCCACUUGGCCACAUAAUCAAUCACUGGACACUAUGUUCCAAACCAGGGGUAUUAUAUUACUUUAUCCCUUUGGCUUAUUUAAAGCUAACAGGCCGUUCUGAGAAGCACUUCCGACUAAAAACUUGGGCUGCCCGUUUUAUGAGGGAAAAACAUCCCUAAGAGACUGAGGAGAGAAAUUGAAAAAGGACUGAAACACACCUCAUGGGGGUUAUCACGAUUUUAAAAUGCUUGACUUUCUAACUGGCGUCAUUUAUCCCUUAAAUGCUCGGAGCUCCAUGGGGAGAAAAUUCUACAGAAUUGGUAGAUUCCCUGCCCUCAGUAAGCUUAUCAUUUAUGCCGUAUACUUUAUGUGGCUCCUGGCUGCCCUGGUGUCCCGUUUGAUUGAGCCUUCCUAGGCCCCGCAUUGUUCUCAUGUCUAUUUAAUUGCACUGCCGAUCAUUAACCCAUGUGGAGCGCCAGAAAUAUGCAAGACAAUGGAAGUAACUCGCAAUUAGCUCCCAGAGGGCUUAUAAUACAAGCUCAACCAGGUUUCUGUGUUCUCCCAUCUCUCUGUUGCUUUUUGCUUUUUCCUCCGUGUUCAGUGUGUUCACAAGAAGGAGCCACCCUUCACCCGCUCCCUUCAAAUCUCAAAGUACCAGACGCUUCCCAAACCCACAAUGGGACCUCUGGCCUCAGUCCCACCUGUCCCCUUCUCGUCAGCGAGGCAUUUCAGGACCAGAACCCAUUCUUCACAGGUUGGACCAAGUGUUUUGAUGGAUCCCAGUGGAAAGUGACAGAGACCUUGAUCCUAUCCUCUUCUGGGCAUGAGGGCUCACGGAUCCCUAAGGCAUUUGCAAGGGUUGCUAAGAAAACCACGCACAGGUGGAAGAUGAUCCCAGGGGCGGAAGAGGCCAAAACUCUGCCCAAAUCUCGCCUUCCUCUGCCGGCCGUGAUGGGGUGCGCCUCCUCUGCUGGCAGCUAGUCCUGUGACAGCUGGUUUUGGGUCAAGAAACCUAGGUCUCCCAAUCCCCCACAGGGCUCUGAGGAGAGGCCAUGAGGGGCUGCUCCGUCGCCAGGAUCGCUCUGUCGUGGGACCAGUUUCUUGGGGAUAAUUAGCACUUCUCUGCCAUGGCCCCAAAUCAAACCCAGCCGAGAUCAUGUUACCUUGCGAUAUGUGUUGACACUGUUUGCCUCCUCAGAUUGCCACCCCAUCUUCCUAAGGUGGGAGAGAGAGGUGUGGAAGCCGUCAGAGGAGGCAAGGAAAAGGCUCUGGUCACUUGUCACUCUCCCAUAGGGCCCAGAGUGGGGCUGUUCCACACGGCACCUUUUCUGAUCUUUUGUCCUAUCUCGUUGGUGUCUCAAACCCCCUGGGGUUCUGGUCGCUUCCCCCUGGGAGAUGAUUUUUCCCAGCGAGUCCGCUCAUCCCUGACUUCCAGCACUCUCUUAAUUCCUAGCAUUGUUUCACUUUUAAAUGCACAUUAACUGGCCCAUCUUUCUCUCUGAUUCUUUUCACCUUGCUGGUGUUUGCACAUGGAAUGAUCAUCCUUGAUUUAUGAGUUAGCCAAGCUGUGCGUAAUUAUUUCUUCAUCUUUACUCAUGAAUUCUCCCAUCCCUUAAUCACUCUUGUUUUCCCCUAAGCUGUCACUUUCUCUACAUUUGUCAGGUAAUGAGGCAGCUGCCGCCGUGUCCACUUCCUGUUCUGGGGCCUCAGCGUCUGAAGAGGGCAGACAGCGCGCUCAGGACCUGCCCCUGCCCCGGCCCCUUCGUAUCACGAAUUCGCUCGUCCUGGAUGGUUCAGCACUUCACAUUUUCAAAAUUUCAGCCAUUGUGUUUAUUGAAAGUGCAUCGACCACAAAACACCGCAGUUCACCUCUCUCUCUUUCUCGCUCUCUCUCUCGUGGAUGGGAAGAUUAUUCUGAAUCUAUGAAGGCAUUUAUUCACAGUGGCUUCUGAGUCAGGCUCUGCACCUACUUCAAUUUUAGAUGUUUUUCUGAAUCUCCUGUUGUGUGUGGCAGUUCAGGAACAGACACUGUGAGACGGAGAGGGGGACUCUGGAUCCGGAUUCAGGCAGCCCGGGUUCAAAUCCUAGGCUUUCCCCUCCCCGUGCCUAGCUGAGUGACCGUGGGCACGUCAUUUCACUUCCAGAAGCCUCGCCUUCGUGGUCCAUCAAAUGAAAUACUAUCUCCCUCUCCAGAGUUGUUGUAAGGAUGAGCUGAAAUGGCGUGUCUGAGCACAGCACAGAGCCGUCUCCCGUUUGUGUACAUUUCCUUCAGUUCAUGCACGUGGCUUCUUUUCCAGGUGAAUUCCAGACUUCGGGAGUUUGUAGACUAGGAAAAUCUCAAAACACAUUUUGAUGAGCAUACUUUUGCCAAGUUUUUAUUUUGCCAACUUUUAAUGUUGCCAAGUAAGAACAGUAUUAAAAAAACCAGCACAACUCACCUUCAUCCAUUUCCACUAAAUUUCAUAAAAGAAUAUUUAAAAAAAAAUCAAGAGGACAUCGUUACGAGUCAAAAAUGGAUGACGUUUAGCUUUACGAAAACCUCUCUGUAUUGCUCUUACUCAUCUUAUCUUAGAGAUGAGUGAACACUUGGUCUGCAGAUCAGUAUUUGGGAGCCGUCGCUCAUCCCGGACUCGCAGGGCUUUCCAGACUAGCGGUUCCCCGCUGUAGACGCCUCACCCCGAGGUGGGGAGGCGGAGGCGGAGGCGGAGGAUGAGCGAGCAGCACGUCUUUCGGUGCAAAGCGUAAGGAACUGCUGGGGUGUGAUCGCCGAGCCCAGGGACCUCGGGAUGUUCAGAGACGAGAGCGGUUGUGAGAAACUGAUGUGCACGAUAUAAAGUAUGUGAAGAGAACAGAGGCAGAACAUUUCCUGAGUUCCAGGUGGAAUACUGGCCGUGUUUGCAUUUUGGGUUUUUAAAAAAAGAUUGCAAGCAAGCGAUCAAAACUUGCCACAUCCGUCACUGAAGAGUGUGCGGGCUCGUGACGGUUUCACUCUGACGCAGCUCCCAAUUGCCUGCGGUUUUUCAGACACAUCCCCCUACAAUAUCCUUUGGGGUCAAAACAUUCCAUAGCUGGUCUAAGGGCAGAGGUGAAUCGUUUUUGAGAAGUUUGGGCUCACUCUGCUCAGCUGGUUUUGCUUAGGGGAGUGUGGAAAGAUCCCUAGGGGUUCUUUUCUAGGAGAAAAAAAUUACACACGCACACCACAGACACACACAUCAUUUGGGGCCUUUUAAAGUCGGGUUAACUCCUACCUGGGGAGGGAACCUCGGCCAGACGGGAAAUCUUAGUGGAUGACAAUUGAACUGCACUGACCCAUCUGGUGUCCGGAAGGAGGCGCAGAGCAGGCCUGUGCCAACUCUGGGUCCACGUGGGAGCACGCUGCCCUGUGCUGGGGGCCUGCUCCUGAGCCCCAGGUACUGCUGAUUUUGUAGAAUAAAAGUCACAAGCACUUAC